rnacentral:lncRNA from 1 species
AGACCCGAGUUGCAGUGAUCCACAGGACCAGGAUCCAAGCUCUCCACUGCACAGGCCAGAGCUGCCCUCCAUUAGAAGAGAUGAGAUUUCCAAAGCUCCCAGAGGAAUACACUACCUCUCCUUAAAUAAAGUCAAAGAGAAGAGAUAGCAUCAUGCUCCUGGGAAUCCAAAAUGAAUAAAAAGACACACCAAGAGAAGGUAAGGUAUAUGGUAUAUUCCUUAAAACUACACAAAUCUAUGGAAAUGACACUGAAUCCCUCAAUCAGUAUGAAGAUAGGGACUCUGGGUGUGAUGAUUACAAAGGUGGGU